rnacentral:rRNA from 1 species
GACGAACCGUGCGACCGUUGUUCGGAAUCACUGGGCUUAAAGGGUGCGUAGGCGGGUUUUUAAGUCAGGGGUGAAAUCCUGGAGCUCAACUCCAGAACUGCCUUUGAUACUGAAGAUCUCGAGUCCGGGAGAGGUGAGUGGAACUGCGAGUGUAGAGGUGAAAUUCGUAGAUAUUCGCAAGAACACCAGUGGCGAAGGCGGCUCACUGGCCCGGUACUGACGCUGAGGCACGAAAGCGUGGGGAGCAAACAGG